rnacentral:tRNA from 2 species
GGAGGCUUAGCUCAGUUGGUAGAGCAACUGGUUUACACCCAGUAGGUCGGCGGUUCAAGCCCGUCAGCCUCCACCA